GACGAACGCUGGCGGCGUGCUUAACACAUGCGAGUCGAACGGAAAGGCCCUGCUUUUGUGGGGUGCUCGAGUGGCGAACGGGUGAGUAACACGUGAGUAACCUGCCCUUGACUUUGGGAUAACUUCAGGAAACUGGGGCUAAUACCGGAUAGGAGCUCCUGCUGCAGGGUGGGGGUUGGAAAGUUUCGGCGGUUGGGGAUGGACUCGCGGCUUAUCAGCUUGUUGGUGGGGUAGUGGCUUACCAAGGCUUUGACGGGUAGCCGGCCUGAGAGGGUGACCGGCCACAUUGGGACUGAGAUACGGCCCAGACUCCUACGGGAGGCAGCAGUGGGGAAUAUUGCACAAUGGGCGGAAGCCUGAUGCAGCAACGCCGCGUGCGGGAUGACGGCCUUCGGGUUGUAAACCGCUUUCGCCUGUGACGAGGCGUGAGUGACGGUAAUGGGUAAAGAAGCACCGGCUAACUACGUG
rnacentral:rRNA from 1 species